rnacentral:tRNA from 1 species
UCCCUGGUGGCUCAGACGGUAAAGCAUCUGUCUACAAUGCAGGAGACCCAGGUUCGAUCCCUGGGUUGGGAA